UACGAAGGAGGCAAGCGUUGUUCGGAAUCACUGGGCUUAAAGCGCAUGUAGGCGGGGUGCCAGGUACCUUGUGAAAUCCCUCGGCUCAACUGAGGAAUAGCUUGGUAAACCGGUACUCUUGAGGCAGGUAGAGGCGGGCGGAACCAUGGGUGGAGCGGUGAAAUGCGUAGAGAUCCAUGGGAACACCGGGGGCGAAAGCGGCCCGCUGGGCCUGAUCUGACGCUGAGAUGCGAGAGCGUGGGUAGCAAACAGG
rnacentral:rRNA from 1 species